CUCCCCUCUGACCAAUAUACAGACCCGAGGCUAAUCCUCAGCAACAGCAUCAGACACAACAAUGUCUUGUCAUCGUGUGGUUGUUUUGGCACUCUUGGUUGUCUUACUGCUAAAUGUUGUGGAGAAUGAGGCUGCAUCAUUCCCUUGGUCUUGCAGCAGUCUAAGUGGAGUGUGUAGAAAGGUUUGCCUCCCAACAGAACUGUUCUUCGGACCUCUGGGCUGCGGAAAAGGCUUCUUGUGCUGUGUGUCUCAUUUUCUAUGAGAGCUGUCAUUGCAGUCGUAAAAAUGUCAUUCAGCCAUGCUAAAACAAGAAGCAUCACAGAAGGCACUGUUGU